AAUGAACGCUGGCGGCAUGCCUAAUACAUGCAAGUCGAGCGGACGGACGGUGAGCGUUCUCCUCUGCCGUUGGCGACGGGCGGGUGAGUAACACGUAGAUAACCUACCUCUAAUACUUGGAUAACUUCGGGAGACCAGAUCUACUACCGGCUCAUAUAUUGAACCGCAGGGUUCAAUGGUUCUACACGCUUUUGCUGUCCCUUAUAGAUGGUUCCGCGCCGCAUUAGCUAGUUGGUAAGGUAACGGCCUACCAAGGCAACGAUGCGUAGCCGACCUGAGAGGGUGAUCAGCCACACUGGAACUGAGACACGGUCCAGACUCCUACGGGAGGCAGCAGUGGGGAAUCUUCGGCAAUGGGCGAAAGCCUGACGGAGCAAUGCCGCGUGAGUGAUGAAGGUCUUCGGAUCGUAAAACUCUGUUAUUAGGGAAGAAAAAAAGUGUAAGAAACCAUGCCCGUUUUGACGGUACCUAAUGAGAAAGCAACGGCUAACUACGUG
rnacentral:rRNA from 1 species